UCAGUAGCGGCGAGUGAGCGGCAAAAGCUCAAAUUUGAAAUCUGGUAGUUCUGCUACCCGAGUUGUAAUUUGUAGAAAACUGUCUUUGUUAGGGUGCCUGUCUAAGUUCCUUGGAACAGGACGUCGCAGAGGGUGAGAAUCCCGUGUGAUGGGUGGCCCGAGCUUUUAAGGCGUUUUCGAAGAGUCGAGUUGUUUGGGAAUGCAGCUCUAAGUGGGUGGUAAAUUCCAUCUAAAGCUAAAUAUUGGCGAGAGACCGAUAGCGAACAAGUACAGUGAUGGAAAGAUGAAAAGAACUUUGAAAAGAGAGUGAAACAGUACGUGAAAUUGUUGAAAGGGAAGGGUAUUUGAUCCGACAUGGGAUUUACUCAUCAUUGCUCCUUGUGGGUGGUGCUCUGGGUUUUUUCUGGGCCAGAAUCAGUUUGUGUGGCAGGAUAAAGGCGUGAGGAAGUAGCUCUUCUGGAGCAAUAUAACUCAUGUUAAUACUGCCUAUGCGGACUGAGGAAUGCGGUUUUUACCAAGGAUUC
rnacentral:rRNA from 1 species